rnacentral:rRNA from 1 species
GACGAACGCUGGCGGCGUGCUUAACACAUGCAAGUCGAACGGGCCUGUCUUCUUUUUUGGGGGGUGGGUUGAGUGGCGAACGGGUGAGUAUCACGUGAGUAACCUGCCCUUCGGUCCUGGAUAACCGCUUGAAAGGGCGGCUAAUACGGGGUGGUCCGGUUGGUCCGCAUGGGCUGGUCGGGAUAGAUUCACUGUUUUUGGUGUUUCGGCGGGGGAUGGGCUCGCGGCCUAUCAGCUUGUUGGUGGGGUGAUGGCCUACCAAGGCGGUGACGGGUAGCCGGGCUGAGAGGGUGGGCGGCCACACUGGGACUGAGAUACGGCCCAGACUCCUGCGGGAGGCAGCAGUGGGGGGGAUUGCACAAUGGGCGGAAGCCUGAUGCAGCGACGUCGCGUGAGGGAUGGAGGCCUUCGGGUUGUGAACCUCUGUUUCCGGUGGUGAAGGCCCUGUCCGUGUGGUGGGGUUGACGGUAGCCGGGGAUGAAGCGCCGGCUAACUACGUG